CUCACGAGAAGGAAACCUACCCUGCGUAGUGUCGGAUCCUCUACAUUCUGCACGCUAAGCAGAGACAAGGAGGAACAAUUUCAAGAAAUUCAAGUAGAAUUCAAGUAGCUACUCUUCAUUAUACUGAACAGUUGAUGGUUCCCACGCUUACUUUGAGACUAUGGGCAGCUCUAUGGGCCAAGGCUCCCAGCCAGCCACUCACUUUGAAGCCUAGUAUCCAGAUCCUGAUAAUAUUUUAUAUGUAGAGAAGAAACAAACUCACUUUGACUCUGCUAAAAGUUGCCUAAACUAUUGACACUUGGCUGCAUCUCCAGGAGUCGUACUGGUGGACCGACCAUGAACCGACCCUGAAUCUGGAAGGUGUGUGCUAGAAUGAUGGAAGAGAAAGAAAGAAAGAGUCUAAAUCCUUGAUGUGGAGCUACCACAUCAGCCCUGUACUCUUCACCUUUGGACUUCUUUUAUAAGCCGUUUAUUUUAGGCUUUCUGAUCUAUGCAGUUGAGCCCAAUAUUAAAUGAUUUCUUAAUCAUUA